rnacentral:sRNA from 1 species
GCUGGGCAUAGAGGUGUGCCUGUCAUCCCAGCUACUCAGGAGGCUGAGGCAGGGAUGGCUUGAGCCCGUAAGUUCAAGACCAGCAUGGGCAACAAAGCAAAAUCUCUCUCAAA